rnacentral:rRNA from 1 species
GACGAACGCUGGCGGCGUGCCUAAUACAUGCAAGUCGAGCGGACGAAUCGAAAGCUUGCUUUUGAUUCGUUAGCGGCGGACGGGUGAGUAACACGUGGGCAACCUGCCCUGUAGACGGGGAUAACACCGAGAAAUCGGUGCUAAUACCGGAUAACACGAAAUGUCGCAUGACGUUUCGUUGAAAGACGGCGCAAGCUGUCGCUACAGGAUGGGCCCGCGGCGCAUUAGCUAGUUGGUGAGGUAACGGCUCACCAAGGCGACGAUGCGUAGCCGACCUGAGAGGGUGAUCGGCCACGCUGGGACUGAGACACGGCCCAGACUCCUACGGGAGGCAGCAGUAGGGAAUCUUCCGCAAUGGACGAAAGUCUGACGGAGCAACGCCGCGUGAGCGAAGAAGGCCUUCGGGUCGUAAAGCUCUGUUGUUAGGGAAGAACAAGUAACGCAGUAACUGGCGUUACCGUGACGGUACCUAACGAGAAAGCCACGGCUAACUACGUG